UACGUAGGGUGCGAGCGUUGUCCGAAUUAUUGGGCGUAAAGGGCUCGUAGGCGGUUUGUCGCGUCGGGAGUGAAAACUCAGGGCUUAACCCUGAGCCUGCUUCCGAUACGGGCAGACUAGAGGUAUGCAGGGGGAGAACGGAAUUCCUGGUGUAGCGGUGAAAUGCGCAGAUAUCAGGAGGAACACCGGUGGCGAAGGCGGGUCUCUGGGCCGUAACUGACGCUGAGGAGCGAAAGCAUGGGGAGCGAACAGG
rnacentral:rRNA from 1 species